GGCUUUGACUUCCUGCUCAGCUGGUCGCCCGGGAAACGGUCGGCUUCCGGUCGCGAAGCGGUGGGCGGAGCCAAGAUGGCUGAAGUGAAGCUUGGGAUGAAAACUCAGGUUCCUGCAUCUGUUGAAUCUCAAAAACCUAGGUCAAAAAAAGCUCCAGACUUCCCUAUUGUGGAGAAACAGAACUGGCUGAUCCAUCUCCACUAUAUCCGGAAGGAUUAUGAAGCUUGCAAGCUAUUCUUCUCUUUUAGGCUGUGAUCAAAGAACAGCUUCAGGAGACUCAGGGGCUAUGUGAAUAUGCUAUCUAUGUCCAAGCACUGAUUUUUCGCCUGGAAGGAAAUAUCCAAGAAUCCCUAGAACUCUUUCAGACAUGUGCUGUUCUCAGCCCACAGUGUGCUGAUAAUCUCAAGCAGGUGGCCAGAUCUUUGUUUCUUCUGGGAAAACACAAAGCUGCCACUGAAGUAUAUAAUGAAGCAGCUAAACUUAACCAGAAAGACUGGGAGAUCUGCCAUAACCUGGGAGUGUGCUACACUUACCUGAAGCAGUUCAACAAGGCACAAGACCAACUGCACAGUGCCCUCCAGCUUAACAAGCAUGACCUGACUUACAUAAUGUUGGGGAAGAUCCAUUUACUGCAGGGAGACCUGGAUAAAGCCAUCGAGAUCUACAAGAAAGCAGUAGAGUUCUCACCAGAAAAUACUGAACUUCUUACAACUUUAGGAUUGCUCUACUUGCAGCUUGGUGUGUACCAGAAGGCAUUUGAACAUCUUGGGAAUGCACUGACCUACGACCCUGCCAACUACAAGGCCAUCUUGGCAGCAGGCAGCAUGAUGCAGACUCAUGGGGACUUUGAUGUCGCCCUUACCAAAUACAGAGUUGUAGCCUGUGCUAUUCCAGAAAGUCCUCCACUUUGGAAUAACAUUGGAAUGUGUUUCUUUGGCAAGAAGAAAUAUGUGGCAGCUAUCAGCUGCCUAAAACGAGCCAACUACUUGGCACCCUUCGACUGGAAGAUUCUGUACAACCUGGGCCUUGUCCAUUUGACUAUGCAGCAGUAUGCAUCAGCAUUCCAUUUUCUCAGUGCAGCCAUCAACUUCCAGCCAAAGAUGGGGGAACUCUACAUGCUCUUGGCUGUGGCUCUGACCAACCUGGAAGAUAUAGAGAAUGCCAGAAGAGCUUAUGUAGAAGCUGUUCGCCUGGAUAAGUGUAACCCUUUAGUAAACCUGAACUAUGCUGUGCUGCUGUAUAACCAGGGUGAGAAGAAGAGCGCCCUGGCUCAGUACCAGGAGAUGGAGAAGAAGGUCAACUUUCUCAAGGACAACAGCCCUCUGGAAUUUGACUCUGAGAUGGUAGAGAUGGCUCAGAAGUUGGGAGCUGCCCUUCAGGUGGGAGAGGCACUGGUCUGGACCAAACCAGUCAAAGAUCCCAAGACAAAGCACCGGACCAAUUCAGGCAGCAAAUCUGCUACUCUCCAGCAGCCUCUGGGUUCCAUUCAAGCUCUAGGACAGGCGAUGUCUUCAGCAGCUGCAUACAGAAAGAUCCUUUCAGGUGCUGUAGGAGCCCAGCUCCCAAAGCCACCAUCACUGCCACUGGAGCCAGAGCCAGAGCCCACUGUGGAAGCAAGUCCAACAGAAGCAUCAGAACAAAAGAAAGAAAAAUAGCAACAAACAGGAAAAACCGAGGAUGACCCUGGAGUAGGGGGUCUCUUAAGUGAGACCAUAUAGAAGGUGGUCAUAUGACCAGGCAGAUGGAGGCUAACACUUCGUCCCUGGGUGGGCACUGCAGAAUUAAAACAGAACCCAGGGUGUGUUGUGAUGAUCAGAAGGAGCCUAAGGCCUAUGCAGCUCUUGGCUGGCCCCAUCAUCCAGGAACAAGGGCGAAGGCAUGCUACAUAGACGUGAGGCCUCGCAUGUAUACUCCAAGAGUUAGCAAGGCAAACGAUGAAAGCCCGUUACUCAGUGAAGGACUUUUAUCUUGAUAAAGGGAAGAGGACCUCUACUCAGUAGGCUGUGGUAAUGAAGCCUCAUUUUAACUGACUGUGGGAAGAUAGAAGUCUCCACUGGAAACACAAACCUUGUAUUAAGAACCUAGUUAAAGAGGGCUUCCCUAACUACCACUACCACCACUCCUUUUAGAUUAAGUUGAGACCUAGAUGGAAUGAAUCCAGCUAUAUUUGCCCAAAGAGACUCUAAAACAAGUCCUUAUCUCCAUUCUUAAGAGAGGUCAGAGUUUAGAGCCAGAUCAUGUCAGUUUAAGUAGUAGAGUCAAGGGCUGGUCUGGAAUCGGCACCAAGAACUUAAAGGGGAAAAGUGGGUAGGUGACUGAGGACAUAGCUCAGUAUUAGAGCACUUGCUUAGCAUACACAGGCCCUGGGUUUAAUCCCCAGUACUGCUGAAAAAGAACAGCUUUUUUAGAUAAGGAAUUUUAGCCAAGACAAUCAAUGAUGAAUGCUGACAAACGCUCUCACAACCCAUUAGCAGCCUUUGUAAAAGAUUAUGGAUAUCCAAGAGGUCAUAUUAAAAGAUUUUUAAAAAAAUAAAACUAUGAUCACUGUCUGUCUUUACC